ACCUACGGGGCGCAGCAGUAGGGAAUCUUCCACAAUGGGCGAAAGCCUGAUGGAGCAACGCCGCGUGGGUGAAGAAGGUCUUCGGAUCGUAAAACCCUGUUGUUAGAGAAGAAAGUGCGAGAGAGUAACUGUUCACGUUUCGACGGUAUCUAACCAGAAAGCCACGGCUAACUACGUGCCAGCAGCCGCGGUAAUACGUAGGUGGCAAGCGUUAUCCGGAUUUAUUGGGCGUAAAGGGAACGCAGGCGGUCUUUUAAGUCUGAGGUGUAAGCCCUCGGAUUAACAGGAGGAGUGCAUUGGAAACU
rnacentral:rRNA from 1 species